rnacentral:rRNA from 1 species
UACAGAGGGGGCGAGCGUUGUUCGGAAUUACUGGGCGUAAAGGGCGCGUAGGCGGCCUGCUAAGUCGGACGUGAAAUCCCCUGGCUCAACCAGGGAACUGCGUCCGAUACUGGCGGGCUUGAAUCCGGGAGAGGGAUGCGGAAUUCCAGGUGUAGCGGUGAAAUGCGUAGAUAUCUGGAGGAACACCGGUGGCGAAGGCGGCAUCCUGGACCGGUAUUGACGCUGAGGCGCGAAAGCCAGGGGAGCAAACGGG